AUUGAACGCUGGCGGCAGGCCUAACACAUGCAAGUCGAGCGGAUGAAGGGAGCUUGCUUCUGGUUUCAGCGGCACACGGGUGAGUAAUGCCUAUGAAUCUGCCUGGCAGUGGUGUAUAACGUCUUGAGACGGGCGCUAAUACCGCAUACGUCCUGCGCGAGCAAUUGGGGGAUCUUCGGACAUCAUGCUAUCAUGUGAGCCUAGGUCGGAUUAGCUAGUUGGUGGGUUAAGUGGCUACCAAGGCGACCAUCCGUAACUGGUCUGAGAGGAUGAUUAGUCACACGAGAAGUGAGACAGGGUCCAGACGCCUACGGGAGGGAGCAGUGGGGAACAUUGGACAACGGGCGGAAGUCUGAUACAGCGGUGCCGAGUGUGUGAAGGAGGUCUUCGGAUUGUAAAGAAGUUUAAGUUGGGAGGAAGCGCAGUAAGUUAAUACCUUGCUGUUUUGACGUUAAUAACAGAAUAAGCACCGGCUAACUUCGUG
rnacentral:rRNA from 1 species